rnacentral:snoRNA from 1 species
AUCAUUUUGUGGUUCAUAAGCAUGAUGAAUGGGUGUUCAUGCAUUUGCGUGAGAUGUGCCUCCCUCAAGCCUUGUUACGAAGUCUGCACAUUACCCGUCUGACA